rnacentral:rRNA from 1 species
UGCCAGCAGCCGCGGUAAUACGAAGGGGGCUAGCGUUGUUCGGAAUUACUGGGCGUAAAGCGCACGUAGGCGGAUUGUUAAGUUAGAGGUGAAAUCCCGGAGCUCAACUCCGGAACUGCCUUUAAUACUGGCAAUCUUGAGUCCGAGAGAGGUGAGUGGAACUCCUAGUGUAGAGGUGGAAUUCGUAGAUAUUAGGAAGAACACCAGUGGCGAAGGCGGCUCACUGGCUCGGUACUGACGCUGAGGUGCGAAAGCGUGGGGAGCAAACAGGAUUAGAUA